rnacentral:rRNA from 1 species
UUUUUGGGCUUGGUAAUUGGAAUGAGGGAGAGUUAAACGGACCAUCGAGUAUCCAUUGGAGGGCAAGUCUGGUGCCAGCAGCUGCGGUAAUACCAGCUCCAAUAGCGUAUAUUAAAGUUGUUGCAGUUAAAAAGCUCGUAGUUGGACUUGUGUGCGCUGUCCGCGGGUGGCCUGCGCCCAAAAGGGCGUUUCGGUUCGGCCCCGGUGGCGCCUUGAAAUCUGCAGCUGGGGGGACGUUGGCCUUAACUGGUCGGCGACCGCACGCCGGCUGCUCGGUUACUGUGAGAAAAUUAGAGUGUUCAAGGCAGGCAUUGGGUGCAAUUGAAUACAUUAGCAUGGAAUAAUAAAAUAUGGCUCCUGCCGUAUUUUGUUGGUUUUGACUGGUGGGAGUAAUGAUUGAUAGGGUCGGUUGGGGGUGCUAGUAUUGAGCGGCCAGAGGUGAAAUUCAUGGAUUCGCUCAAGACUAACUUAUGCGAAAGCAUUCACCAAGGACGUCCUCUUUAAUCAAGAACGAAAGUUGGGGGAUCGAAGACGAUCAGAUACCGUCGUAGUCUCAACCAUAAACUAUGUCGACUUGGGAUCGGCGGUAGUUUUUUCAUUAAGACACUGCGGGACCACGGGAGAAAUCAAAGUGUCUGGACUCUGGGGGAAGUAUGGUCGCAAGGCUGAAACUUGAAGGAAUUGACGGAAGGGCACCACCAGGAGUGGAGCCUGCGGCUUAAUUUGACCCAACACGGGGAAACUUACCAGGUCCAGAGAUGUAGAGGAUUGACAGAUUGAAGCUCUUUCUUGAUCACUUCGGUGGUGGUGCAUGGCCGUUCUUAGUUGGUGGAGUGAUUUGUCUGGUUAAUUCCGUUAACGAACGAGACCUCAGCCUGCUAGUGUAGUCGGCUGGAUUGCCUUUGGCGAUCCGUGAUUUCGACUUCUUAGAGGGACAAUCGACGCGCAGUCGAUGGAAGUUUGAGGCAAUAACAGGUCUGUGAUGCCCUUAGAUGUUCUGGGCCGCACGCGCGCUACACUGCUGGGCUCAGCGAGUUUUACUUGGCCGAGAGGCCCGGUUAAUCUUGUGAAAUCCCAGCGUGCUUGGGCUCGCCUCCUGCAACUGGAGGCGCCAACGAGGAAUUCCUAGUAGACGCAGGUCAUCAACCUGCAUCGAUUACGUCCCUGCCCUUUGUACACACCGCCCGUCGUUCCAUAAGAGUGAGGCAUCCGGUGAAUUCUCGGGAGAGCCUGGGCGUGGCCAGCAAUGGUCUGCUCGGGUUUGAACUUGCAUAAACUUGGUGCCUAUGAUUAGGG